GCCCAGAAAUAAACCCUUAUACGCAGUCACCUAGUACCUAAUGAGAGCCAUUAACAUUCAGUGGAGAAAAGACAAGUUUCCUCAGUAAAAGUUUUCGGGAAAACUGGCCCACUGUCUUGCAGCACUCACAAAAAUUAGCUAGAAAUGCAUUAAAGACUUAAAUUUAAGACUGGAAAACCAUACGGGGCACCUGGGUGGCCCAGCUGGUUGAGCAUCCAACCUCAGCUCAGCUCAUGACCACGGUUCAUGGGUUUGAGCCCUGUGUCAGGCUCUGUGCUGACAACUCAGAGCCUGGAGCCUGCUUCAGAUUCUGUGUCUCCCUCUCUCUGUGCCCCUCCCCUGCUCACGCCGUGUGUGUCUCUCUCUCAAAAAUAAACAUGUAGAAAAUUUUUGAAGGAAAGAAAGAGAGACUGGAAAAUCAUGGAAGUCCUAGAAGAGAACAGGACAAAGCCCCUUGACAUGGGUCGUGGUGAUGCCUUUGGAGUGUGACACCUAAGGAAGGCACAAGCAAUGAAAGCAAGACUACACAACUGGGACCAAACCAGAGUCUGCACAGAACAAAUGACCAGCAAAAUGAAAAAACAAACAAACAAACAAAAACACCCCAGCCUGCAGAAGAAGGAAAAAAUGUGCAAACCACGUAGCUGACAAGGUGGUAAUAUCCAAAAUAUAUAAAGAACUCUACCUUAAUAACAACAAAACAAUAAUCCUAUUUUCAAGUGGGGAAAAGAUGUGAAUAGGAACUUUUCCAAGGCCACGUAUACACUAAGGUGCCCCACGUCACCCCUCACCAGGGAGAUACGAGGCACUUCUGUCACAAGGUCCGGACUCAAAAACUAGAAACUGCAGGUGCUGGUGAGGAUGGGGAGAAACCACUGGUGGGAAGGUGCCUGGGUGCAGCCACUGUGGAAAACUGUGCAGAGGUUUCUCAAACGACUGAAAAUGGAAGUCCCGUGUGCUCCAGCAUUUCCCUCCAAGGAGGCAAAACCGACACCGAAGGGGCACCCGCACCCCGUUUUCAGAGCAGCACGAGCAUUACUCGCAAGAGCCAAGAUAAGGAAAUAGCCUGAGUUUGCACUGACGCAUGAAGGAAACGUAGCACACACACAAGGGAAUAGCAUUCAGCCAUAAAACAAGAAGCAAGUCCCGCUGUUUGUGACAACGUGGAUGGACCUCGAAGGGACUGUACCGACGGAAAAAUCAGAGAAACACAAAUACUGGCAUCUCACUUGUUAACGGCCUCGUAAAAACAAACUCAAGAAAAAAGCGAACAGAUUUGUGGAUACCGGAGGCACAGCGAGGGGGUGCGGAAUUGGAGGAAGGGAUCCAGUGGCACAAACUCCCAGCUAGAAGAUAAGGAAGGACGGAGGUGCGACGUACGACAUGGGGACACGGCCGCGUCUGUGAUACGUCCUAAAAGUUCUAUGAAAAGAGAAAACAUCUUUCCUUCUCAUGUAGGUGACACGAUGUCGCUGUGCCCAGAAUUCCAGCCGCCGUGCUGCACGUCUGGUGCUCAGCGGUGCUGUCUGCAGCGACACGUCCAUAAAAUGAGAAACAAGCGAACCUGCAAACUUCACCUCCUUGGAUCAGGAUACAGACCCUUAUCCAUGCCCCCCUUCCAACUUCAGUCUCACACUUCAUUAUCUCCAACAAGAUGCCCCCAAAUUACUUGGAAACCAAAUAGUCAUCUGCAUUGUCUUCGGUUGCUCCUCAGGCAAUGAAAUGCUAGGCUCAAGUGCUUUAGUUACCCCAAGGCAGCAAGGGCAAACUCCUUAAUUCCCGGCAUCAUGAGCAACCCCAGAAGCACCUGUUCACGGUACUGAGAAAGCAGCGGCUACUGACCCCAGGGGCCUGCUGCAACUCUUGGCCCAAAAUGUACCAAUACACAGAUUUUACCACAACAGGAAAAGCUACACCAACACUGAAUGGUGAUGGGGGCGUCUGGGGGGCUCAGUCGGCUAAGUGUCUGACUCUUGAUCUCAGCUCAGGUCAUCAUCUCACAGUUCAUGGCAUGAAGCCCCGAGUCAGGGUCUGUGCUGACAGUGCAGAGCCUGCUUGGGAUUUUCUCUCUCUCUGUCUCUCUGUCCCUCCCCUGCUCGCAUGUGCAAACACCCUCUCAAAAUAAAUAAACCUAAAAAAAAAAAAACCCAAAACCCCGAAUGGUGACGGAUGAGCCACACCAUUUCAUUGGAGAGGACACAGGGAAUAUGAUACCAAAAUACCUCUGAAAAACAGGAACUAAUGCAGGGACCCCAAAGAAGAAUACGACACAACACACUGGUUAAGUCCCACACAUGCCACGUAACCUGUGGGCACUGGUUCCGUCCAUGUCCUGCGUAAUGCCGAUACUUUAAUAAAAGCAAUUAAAUGUGUGUACUUUUUCAAGGUAUUUGAGUUCACAGGGGAUUUUUAGGGGAGAAAGUUAAAAAUCGUUGGGUCAGGUAUGCCAAUAUUGUAUUAGGAGAUCACUGUCGUCAGUAAUUAUAUGGUGAGAGUUCAAGGUCAGUGGGUAAGACACCAGGAGUG